rnacentral:rRNA from 1 species
CUCGAAAUCCGUCGGCGGGGGAUUCAGUCGGGAGGUGCGGGCUCGUGCGCCGGUCGGUAAAUCGGACCCAUAGCUGGGCCGGGCCGGCGCCGCAGUCUCCGCACGACCCGACGCACUUCCUCCCGCCCCAAGGACGCCGCAGCCGGUUGGGUAGCUGCGCGAGUCGGCCAUAAGGACGGGCACCGGAAGGUGGCCAGUGGCGAACUAGUUUCCGUUGCUGGUCGUUAUCCAGCCCGCCCGUGGCGCGACACCCGACCGAGGUCUAUCAGGUCCAGGUUAGGACCUUGCCGUCCCCUCCCCCGUGGUCGAGCGGGCGCGCCGGCAGGCGAUUCCCCUUGCGGCCGUCCCACUCUUAGUAGUGGCCGGCCCUCGGGUGGCGCCGUUGGCGAGGAUGCGUCCCGCGCGGGGUUCGGAAGGCUUGCGGCGAGUAGGUCGGUCACCCACCCGACCCGUCUUGAAACACGGACCAAGGAGUCUAACAUGUGCGCGAGUCACGGGGUCUUGUUCAGGCCCAGAGGCGCAAUGAAAGUGAAGGCCGUCUAACAGCGGCCGUGUUGGGACUCUCCGCGCCCGCCGCGGGGAAGCACCAACGACCCGCCCUGUCCGAUUCAUCGGUUGGGCGGAGUGUGAGCGUACACGUUGGGACCCGAAAGAUGGUGAACUAUGCCUGGGCAGGACGAAGCCAGAGGAAACUCUGGUGGAGGUCCGUAGCGGUUCUGACGUGCAAAUCGAUCGUCAGACCUGGGUAUA